rnacentral:rRNA from 1 species
GACGAACGCUGGCGGCGUGCUUAACACAUGCAAGUCGAACGGUAAGGCCCUUCGGGGUACACGAGUGGCGAACGGGUGAGUAACACGUGGGUGAUCUGCCCUGCACUUCGGGAUAAGCCUGGGAAACUGGGUCUAAUACCGGAUAGGACCCUGGGAUGCAUGUCCUGGGAUGGAAAGCUUUUGCGGUGUGGGAUGGGCCCGCGGCCUAUCAGCUUGUUGGUGGGGUGAUGGCCUACCAAGGCGACGACGGGUAGCCGGCCUGGGAGGGUGACCGGACACACUGGGACUGAGAUACGGCCCAGACUCCUACGGGAGGCCGCGGUGGGGAAUAUUGCACAAUGGGCGCAAGCCUGAUGCAGCGACGCCGCGUGAGGGAUGACGGCCUUCGGGUUGUAAACCUCUUUCAGCACCGACGAAGCGCAAGUGACGGUAGGUGCAGAAGAAGGACCGGCCAACUACGUGCCAGCCGCCGCGGUAA